GAUUAAGCCAUGCAUGUGUAAGUGUAAAUAUCAAACUUUGAAACUGCGAAUGGCUCAUUAUAUCAGUUAUAGUUUAUUUGAUGAAGAAUACUAAUUGGAUAACCGUAGUAAUUCUAGAGCUAAUACAUGUAUAAAGUCUUGUAGACUGCAUUUAUUAGAAUGAAAACCAUAGGUUUCGGCCUAUUCGUGAGUAAUAAUAACUAAUCAUAUCGUAUGCUUAUGUAACGAUGUGUCUUUCAAGUUCUGCCCUAUCAGCUUCGAUUCGAUGGUAGUGUAUUGGACUACCAUG
rnacentral:rRNA from 1 species